UACGUAGGGGGCUAGCGUUGUUCGGAAUUACUGGGCGUAAAGCGCACGUAGGCGGAUAUUUAAGUCAGGGGUGAAAUCCCGCAGCUCAACUGCGGAACUGCCUUUGAUACUGGGUAUCUUGAGUAUGGAAGAGGUAAGUGGAAUUCCGAGUGUAGAGGUGAAAUUCGUAGAUAUUCGGAGGAACACCAGUGGCGAAGGCGGCUUACUGGUCCAUUACUGACGCUGAGGUGCGAAAGCGUGGGGAGCAAACAGG
rnacentral:rRNA from 1 species